ensembl:lncRNA
GCCAAACUUGUGUAUUUAUUGAAAUGACAGUGAUACAGUUGAUAUUAUUUCCCCAGAUAAUAAACAUGAGUACAUCCUGAUGGAGCAUAGUAAUAUUCUCUUUGACAAUCACUCAUUUCUACAUUCAGUGUCAACAAACUGAGCCCCAAAUAGCACCCUAUUCCCUGUGUAGUGCACUACUUUAGACUAGAGCUGGCACCCUAUUCCCUAUGUAGUACACUACUUUAGACUAGAGCUGGCACCCUAUUCCUAUGUAGUGCACUACUUUAGACUAUGGCUAUAUGGACCCUGGUCAAAAGUAGUGCACUAUAUAGGGAGAAGGGUGUCAUUUGGGAUGAAUCCUACAGUAUCCCUCUCUAACUCUCUCUUAAGUGUCUUGGGGCUCAGAGAGAAACUCUUAAAGGGGAGAAAGGUGGAGGGGUGAAGGGAGAGAAGGAUGGAGGGAGAGAAGGGUGGAGGGAUGGAGGGAGAGAAGGAUGGAGGGAUGGAGGGAGAGAAGGAUGGAGGGAUGGAGGGAUGGAGUGAGAGAAGGAUGGAGGGAGAGAAGGGUGGAGGGAUGGAGGGAGAGAAGGGUAGAGGGAUGAAGGGAGAGAAGGGUGGAGGGAGAGUAGGGUGGAGGGAUGGAGGGAGAGAAGGAUGGAGGGAUGGAGGGAGAGAAGGAUGGAGGGAUGAAGGGAGAGAAGGGUAGAGGGAUGAAGGGAGAGAAGGGUGGAGGGAGAGAAGGGUGGAGGGAUGGAGGGAGAGAAGGGUGGAGGGAUGGAGGGAGAGAAGGGUGGAGGGAUGGAGGGAGAGAAGGGUGGAUGGAUGUAUGUAAGACAGGAUGGCAGUCGACAGCCUUAAAGAAGGCCUGAGGGGAGGAAAGGGAGAAGAGUUGCCACACGGUCUACAGUGUGUGGAGAGAAAUGUGAAGCUGCCCUCUAGGCUAAACUGAAUAAGCCCCCAGGCUGAGUCUCCCGGGUAGGAAAUUGGCUAACAGUGUUAUAGUGAGCCAAGAGCAACCUUCUGGCUCGGUCUUUAUGUUUCAUUUAGAUCUUAUCUGAUACAUGGACACAAAGUCAAUGGAACUCUUCAGCAUGUUUUACAUAGAACCACUGGUCAUGUUCUAGAACUUCUAGUGUUCUACAGUAGAAUUCUCUGGCCGUGUUCAAGAACUUCUAGUGUUCUACAGUAGAAUUCUCUGGUCAUGUUCUAGAACUUCUAGUGUUCUACAGUAGAAUUCUCUGGUCAUGUUCUAGAACUGCUAGUGUUCUACAGUAGAAUUCUCUGGUCAUGUUCUAGAACUUCUAGUGUUCUACAGUAGAAUUCUCUGGCCAUGUUCUAGAACUUCUAGUGUUCUACAGUAGAAUUCUCUGGCCAUGUUCUAGAACUUCUAGUGUUCUACAGUAGAAUUCUCUGGCCGUGUUCAAGAACAUAGUAGAGUCACCUAGCUAGCGAAUACAGUGGUUCUCAAACCUGGUCCUGGGGAUCCAAAGGGGGACACAUUUUCUGUUUUUGCUCUCGCACUACACACCUGAUUCAAAUCAUCCAAGCUCGAUUAUCAGUUGAUAAUCUUAAAAUCAGGAACAAGUAAAAAUGUGUCCCCCUUCGGGUCCCCGGGACCAGGAUUGAGAACCCUUGAUUGAACAGAUAAGGUGACACUAUAAACUAUUUACAAAGUGAAUAAAAACAGAGUGAUAAAAGUGGAAUCACUUUUUAAAAAAUCAUUUAAAACUUUAAACUCAGCGUUUAAAAGCACUUUAAAAACGUCUUCUCAUCAGGACAACACACAUACUGGGCUGUUUCCCAGACCAGAUAUAGACCAGAUUACUACUAAGAUCAUUGGACACACACAGAUGAAACCAAACUAUUAUUUUAUGCCCCGAUGUACAUAAAUAUAUGUAAAUUGGGAUAUUAUAAAGACAACUUUUCGGGUCUCAAAGAACCCUGGAACUUUAAAAAAGUGGUCUUCUCCCCUAUAGUACCCAAUGGUUCUGUGAACCGUACAUAAAACACAGAGCAUUCAACACAGAACAUUUUGAAAAACUUUUAAAUUCACCCUCACUACCAAAAGAGUUGUACCCCCUCCCAACCUGACUAUCAAUUAUCACAAAAAAAAUAAAAAAUAAAAAAGGUACAUUUCUCCUUAUUUUUUAUUUAUUAGAAGUGUUGGAAUGUUUAUUUUAACAAUCAUGGUGAAUAUACACAUUGAGGGGGUACAUUAAACCAAGAUGGACAGGCAGCAAGAGUCAGCGGUGAAGGAGAGGAAGGGGGAGGAGAGGAGAGGAAGGGGGAGGAGAGGACAGGAAGGGGGAGGAGAGGAGAGGAAGGGGGGGAGGAGAGGAGAGGAAGGGGGAGGAGAGAGAGGCUACAAGCGUCAGCAGAGGAGGAGAGGAGAGGAAGGGGGAGGAGAAGAGAGGAAGAGGGAGGAGAGGGAGCGACAGCGGAGGAGGAGAGGAGAGGAAGGGGGAGGAGAAGAGAGGAAGAGGGAGGAGAGGGAGCGACAGGCAGCAAGCGUCAGUGGUGGAUGAGAGGAGAGGAAGGGGAGGAGAGGAAGAGACAAGGGACAGAAAGAUUCCAAAAUGUCUUUCACUUCUAGAACAUCUCAAACACUUCCCCUGCUUCCAUCCCUCCUCUCCAUCCCUCCUCUUCAUCCCUCCUCUCCAUCCCUCCUCUCCUCUCCAUCCCUCCUCUCCCCUCUCCAUCCCUCCUCUCCAUCCCUCCUCUCCCCUCUCC